UCUUGGUCAUUUUUCCUUCUGCGAUUCUGUAAAACACUUCCACAUCAGAUCAUAAAUCGGAAGACAAAAGAAAAACACUCAGAUAUAUAUCGAUCAAAAGUAUUUCUCCACACUUCAGAAACAGAUCUAGUUAGCUAAGCUUGAAACCAGAAACAGUAUUUGACCCCAAAAAUCGAAGCAAGAGCGAUCAAGGACUGAAGGCUG
rnacentral:misc_RNA from 1 species